ACCUAAGCAAUUAACAAUAGAACAGUGAAGCAAAUGAAAGGAUGAAGGGAAUGUGUAACUUUAUUUUCUAUCUCUGCAUAAUUAUAAAGUUUCUUCAAUCAUAUCCAAAGAAAGGAGAAGGAAGAAAAUGCUACACAUAAUUCCCUGAAUAUAAGCAAAUAGAUAAGGGUGAAAGAAGUGAAAGUUCGUCUCUCUUCUUACUGAAAGAGUUUUUCUCUAACUUCUCUCUACAAUUUCAACCGACUGGUGUUUAAGUAACCCACCUCUGUCCUUAGGGCAGGGGAAGGUCCCUCAACCCAAUCGAAGGUGGAACUUCCCUCCCCCCUUAGGUUGGCUUGCAUAAUCUUGUGUUUGGGUUGUUUUGUUGAUCUACGAGUUCUAAGCGUCGUUUGAGAGGGUUUUAGCACAGAUCGAUGAACUAGUUUCAGUCUCUAUUUUAGGGGACCCCCCUAUUGGCUGGCAUCUUCGGUAGUGAGAGUACCAAUUGGUUAUCGUCUCCACCACUGCUUGGACUAGAUGAGAAUGAGAUGUUCGUUGUUCUGCCAAGCCUAUUCCCGGUUCAGUCCGGCACUGGUUCCUGGCCUUGGGUUUUCUUGAAUUAUUGCUUCUUAGCUCGCCUGGAUCUCAAUUUCUUUAGGGGAAAUUGCUUUGUCAUACCUCAGAUGGCUCAGAAGAGGUGGUUUCUGUCUGAGCUUCCCUGCGUUCAUUUACUUGUUUAAGCAAUUUCUCCUUGGUUGCCGACGAUGAGGUGAUGAGAUGAAAUAAAGUGGUCCAUGCAAGAGUGGCUGCCGAUGAAUUUUUAGGUUUAACCCGUAUACAUCUAAGGCUCCAAUUGGGUUCCUUUAUCAUGGGUCUGGGGUUUGAGUUUGUAGGAAUAAUUUUCUAUUAUGGGCUUCGGACUGUAACUCUACUUUUUUAAUGAAAUAUUCCUCUUUUCUCAAUUAAAAUGUCAUUUUUAUUUAUUUAUAUUAAGCAAUAGAAAGUGAAAAAUUUAAGUAGUAAACUAACUACUAGCACGUAAAGCUGGCUGGCAAUUCGUGUU
rnacentral:misc_RNA from 1 species